ACCCGGCAGCCAGGGUUUUUAUUAAUGUUUUUACUGGGUUCUUCUAAAUGCAUUUGUACUAAGUACAUUUCAUACCAUGACUUUGAACACAUUCACCUCCUGCGCGCCCUCAACUCCCUCAGUUCCAGCCCUUCUCCCUCCACCCCCAACUUCAUGUCUUCUUUUUCCCAUAACCUACUGAUUCCAAGUCCUGCUCUCCGCAUCUGAGUCCGGGGCCAUCCACGGGAGUGGAGUUGGCCUACCGAUUGUCAAACCCUUGAAGACAAUUGACCCUUCCUCCCCUAGAAGCUAUCAGCUGUCCAUGGCACCUCAGUUAGGGAUGAAGGCUCGAGAGUCCUCCCUGCGCCACACUAGAAUGUCAGCUGGCUUGAGCUAAGCACCUUAAAUAGAGAAUUACAAAUCGGUUAAAAGAAAAAGAUUUUAAAAAGGUAUAGCAUGUAAACAUCAAAAGACGAGUGAAAUGACCAUUGUGUGUGUGUGUGUGUGUGUGUGUGUGUGUGUGUGUGUAUGUGUGUGUGUGUAAAAUUAGGUUUCAGAACAAGGAGUGUUACCGGGGAUGAAAAGGGGCACCAUGUGACGAUAAAGAUUCCAUGACUCCAAUUCUGUGCCCACAUAACACAAUGGUCUUCAAAUACAGAAAACAGGAUUUGGUAAACUAAACAUAAAUUCACAGUUGUGUAGUUGGGGACUUUAAUAUUACUCUUGCAGUAACCAAUGGAACAAGCACAAAUAAUGGGUAGUGAAGAGCUGACCAACACUAACAGUCAGCAGUUAGAGGUCACUCUAGUCCCAUACAACAAAAUAUAUAUGACUUUCUUAUGCAAGCACAACAUUUGCUAUGUAGACAAUACAGCAUGUUUAGAAUAACCCCAUAUAAAACAGUUCUUUUCUCAUAACAGAAUUAAAUAGAAUCCAAUAAUAAAACAGAUACCUGAAAACUCACAAAUAUAUGAAACCAGAACAAAACAAUUCUGAAUUAUCCAUGAGUCAAAGGAAGAAAGAAGUAAAGUCAUAAAAUAUGUUGAACAGACCAGAGAGGAUCCACAUUCGUGAGAUGUGAAGGUAAAUUUAUAAUAUUGUUUGCACCCAAAAGGAAGACAGAUGUACCAGUGAGGUUACCUCCCAUCUUAGUAACCUGGAGACAGAGUGCAAAUUAACCCUGAACUGGUGGAGGAAACGGAAGAAGAAUGAAACUGGGAAGAAAAGCUAUAAAGAAAAUACUGAAAUCAAAUGUUGGCAUUUUGAAAAGAUGAACAAAAUCAAUAAGCUGUAGUCAGAUUCAUUAAGAAGAGAUAGGACAAAGACAUAAAUCACCCAAUCAGGAAUGAACAGGGCAGCGCCAAGGUCCUACAGUUAAUUAAAAGAACAAUUGGAACUGUUACCAACUUUAUGCCAUAAAACUAGCAACUUGGUGAAAUAAAGACCGUGAAAAAGUUAUCAAAGCUCCUUCCAACAAUAAAGCUGAACAGUGUAAGUCACAGAAGCAAAACUUCCAACUUCAGGCCUAGAUACCUUCGCUGGCAAGUCUACCCAAGGAAGGAAGGAAGAGGGCCAGUUCUAGCAAAGGACUUGAGGAAGCCGUUCCCAGCUCAUUAUGAAGCUGCCACUGACCUGAGACUCAAGCCUGUCAUAGGCAGUACAAGAAUCCAGCCAAAUAGUUCUCACAAAUACAAACACAAAAUCCCAUGGACAGGACAGGGCCAGAGAGAUGGAUCAGCUGGCAAAGGUUCUCGCCACCCAGCCUGGCAGAGUUCAAUCCCUGUGACCCAGGGAAAGAUUGGUAGAAAGGACUGACUCCACAGAGUUGUCCCCACCUCUGCAUGUGCAGUGUGGCAUGUGUACCCCUCCCCCAAUACAUAUAUCAUAUGUAUCUAGAGUCAGCGGGACUUCUCAGGACCCUAACACUCUGGCCCUGAGGCAGCCAUAGGGGUACUGUUGAUGUCUGUGGCUCCUGCUACCACCUGUGACCAUGUUGGUGUUGGAGGGAUGAGCCCCCAUGGGGCCAUGCCAAUCUAAGAGGCCUGUGCUGCCACUUGGGACCAUGGUGAUGUCUGGGGCAGACUGCUGCUGGGUGCCAUGUUUGGGUCCAUGGCCCUGCUGUGGCCAGGGUAUGAGUUGAUGUCCAUGGUUCCUGUUGCCAUUGAGGGCCAUGCAGAGACCCACAGUCUGGGUUGACACCUGGGGCCAUGUUGAUCCUUGAUUGUCAAGCUGCCUCAGGGCCAUGGUGUUAUCCAGACCCACACUGCAGCUGAGGGCCAUAUCUGGGUCUCUGGCCCUACCACAACCAAAGUCUGGGUUGAUGUCCAUGACUCUUGUUACCACCAAAGGCUGAGCAGAUGCCUAGGGUCUGGGCCACCACCUGAUGACAUGUUGGCAUUAUAGGGCCAUGCCACCACUGGGGCCAUGCUGAUCUGGGCAAACUGCAAUGCCAGCUAGGGCCACAAUGACAUCAGGGACCAAGCUGCUGACAAGGACCAUGUCUGGGUCUGUGGUCUUAACUGCAGCCUGAGUCUGUGUUGAUGUCAGUGGCUCAUGUUGCCAUCAAAGGCCACAAUGGAUGCCCAGGAUCUGGGCUGCCACCUGUGGCCAUGUUGGUGUCUGAGGUCCAUGACACUGCUCAUACAGACUUGAAUGACAUGCGGGCAGGAGCUGUGGCUGGGGCCAGGUCUGGGUCCCGGCCCCUGCUGCAGCCAGGGUUUGUAUUAAUGUCUGAGGCUCCUGUGGCCAUCCAAGGCUGUGCAGAUGCUUGGAAUCUGGGCCCCCACCUGAUGCCAUGUGGGUGUUCUAGGCCCAUGCUGCUGCUGGGUUCAUUCUGAUCUGAGUGGCCUGCACUGCCAGCGGGGGUCAUGGUGUUAUCUGGGCCUGAGCUGUCACCAAGGGCCAUGUCUGGGUCUGUGGCCCUACUGCAGCCAUGGUCUGUGUCAAUGUCCAUGGCUCCUGUUACCACUGAAAGCAGUGAGGAUCGGGUUGCACAGAGUUGGUCCCACCCCCUCACCAACUGCAGCGCUUGGGAGAGCAGGCCCUGCACCUCACCUGGGCAGCACAGUAGAGAUGGCCCUGUGAGUGGGGAUGCAGGUGAGCUGGUCCUGAAGGCAUGAGAAUAGGAAAGCUGGCCCCACUGUCUGUCAUGUGAUAAUGUAGGUCCGUCCUCCCCCACCCCCCGCCACCUACUGCAGGCCGGAAAAGCUGGUCCCUGGAUCAUAAGAGUGGGAGAGCUGACCCUGUCCCUCACCAGCAGCAGCACUUGAGAGAGAGAGGGUCCUGCACCUUGUCUGGGCAAAAUAGAAAAGCUGGCCCUGGUGUGAGUGAGGGUGGCCAGACCUGAGGUCACGAGAGCAGGAGAACUGGCCGUGCUCCUUGCUGUCUGCUGCAGUGGGUGAGCUAGUCGGGGCAGUGCUGGAGAGCUUACCCUGGUGAUGAGGAGGAGGAAAAGCUGGCGGGAUGACCAAUCCAGCUACCACCCAGGCCCAGAACCAGGACUGUGAGUUGGCCCACCCCAACAUCUACUGAAUCUGUGAACUGUGAGAGCAUGUAAAGAGACCAGUCCUGCAGACCCAAAGCUGCAGGAUCUCCACGACACAGGGCAACAGCAGGAUAUCCAGGAGGAGUCCCAGCGAGGGCCCAGCAUGGAUAGUGUAGCAGAAACCAGAGGCCUUGAACCAGACCAGUGACUCAUUGUAGUAAACCCAAGUAAAGAUGUUCAGACUCAAGGUUAUACUGUGUGACUCACUGAGCCACAUUACAUCUUCCACACCGAGAUUUUUUUCUUUUGUUUGUUUGUUUUGUUUUUUCAGUUUUACUUUUAAAUUCUGUUUUGUUUGGGGGGGGGUGGAUUGCAAGGGCAGAGGGCGGAAGCAAGUGGACGGGGAAAUGAGUAGGGUUGAGAUAUAUGAUAUGAAAUCCACACAGAAUUAACUUUUAAAAGUUUUAAAAAGAAGAAUUGAAAAAAAAGUUAAAUGAAUUUUAGCCUGUGAUUAAGACAAUUUUCAGUGGUUUCUGAAAUGGAUCUAAACAUACGUGUGCUGUUUUGUACUACAUACUUAACGUUCAGUGGCCUUCUCAGCACUGACGUUUAAAAAUCAGAUAUUAAUCAACUCUGAAAAAUGUUGAAGAUGUUUGUGGUGGUUUGAAAGAGAAUCCCCUUACACUCAUAUAUUUGAAUGCUUGUUUCUUAGUUGGUGAAACUAUUUGGGAAGGAUCAGGAGAUGUGGCCUUGUUGAAGGAGUUGUGCCACUUGGGGUGGACUUGAGGUUUUAAAAGCCCAUGCCAUUUCUGGUUAUCUCUGUCUCUCUGCCUUAUGAUUAUUGUCUCGAUGUGUAAGCUCUCAGCUACUGCUCCAGCACCACGCCUGCCUGCCUGCCGCCAUGCUCCCCACCAUCAUGGUCACAGACUAACCCUCUGCAAAUGUAAGCAAGCCCCCAAGUAAAUGCUUUUUUUUAAGUUGCCUUGGUCAUGGUGUCUCUUCACACCAGCCGAAAAGUAACUAAGACAAUGCUCUACAUCCUAAGUAUCAGAUAUUCAGCUAAUAGUUCUUAUAAAAAUAGACAAGCACACCCACCUCAUUCAUAUGUAAAUUUGCUUUCAAAAUCUUUGCUAAAUGGUAAAGGUAUAUGUAUACCAAAGAAUUGUCUUAAAAUAAACUUGUUUAUUAUGAA